rnacentral:snRNA from 1 species
GUAUCUACCUGGCAGGGGAGAUACCAUGAUUAAGAAAGUGGUUCACCCAGGGCGAGGCUGAACUAUUGUAUUUUGGUUGGCUGACCCUUGUGAAAUGUGAAAAUCUUGACUGCAUAAUUUCUGGUGU